AUUGAACGCUGGCGGCAGGCCUAACACAUGCAAGUCGAGCGGAUGAAGGGAGCUUGCUCCUGGAUUCAGCGUCGGACGGGUGAGUAAUGCCUAGGAAUCUGCCUGGUAGUUGGGGAUAACGUCCGGAAACGGGCGCUAAUACCGCAUACGUCCUGAUGGUGAAAGUUGUGGUUCUUCGGUCCUCUCGCUAUCAUAUGUGCCUAGGUCGGAUUAGCUAGUUGGUUGGGUAAAGGCCUACCAAGGCGACGAUCCGUAACUGGUCUGAGAGGAUGAUCAGUCACACUGGAACUGAGACACGGUAAAGAGUACUACGGGAGGCAGCAGUGGGGAAUAUUGGACAAUGGGCGAAAGCAUGAUAGAGCAAGGCAGCGUGAGAGAAGAAGGUGUUAGGAUUGUAAAGAACUUUAAGUAGGGAGGAAGGGAAGUAAGAUAAUACAUUGAUGUAUUGACGUUAACAAAAGAAUAAGCAACGGCUAACUACGUG
rnacentral:rRNA from 1 species